UUAUACUUCAUUGACUGGAAGGAAUCCCUUCUGAUCAAUGAGGUCUGACAACCUCAUUGACCGGAAGGAAUUCCUUCUGAUCAAUGAGGUCUAA
rnacentral:miRNA from 1 species